rnacentral:lncRNA from 1 species
AUGUCAAAAGGAUGACACAUUUAGAGAUUAUUCAAAAACUUGCCAAAAACAAUAUAUAUAUGACUGAGACCCUUUUAGCUCUGUCAUAUUAAAUUGUAAGUACUAAGUUGUAAUUAAUAGGGUUUUUGGCCAACAUAAUUUCCCGGGGGAUCGUAAUUGUAAGUGGCGAACCACCAUUAUUAGUGCAUUGUACCCUUGCACACCCUAAACGACCAGAGUUGCGCCAAACAAUUUGAGUAUAAUGCAAGCAUUGUCCUCCAUUAAUGCAUGAAUUAAUUUUAUAAUCAUGUAUUGAUUCUAAUUAACCAGUGAAUGUAACACUAGAUCCUUUGGCAAGAUUCCCACCAUAAGGUCCACUUGAGUGAGUCAAAUUCCAAUCCCAAAUAAUGUUUGCAACACAAACUUGCACACGAGCAGUGUUGGGGGAAUUGAGAUAACCUUGAGGUGAGUUUUGAGCAUUGGAGAAUGAUAACCAAAUGGGAAAGAAUUUUGAAAAAGCCCUCCAAAAUCAUCCCCGAGGAGAAGCUUCAGUGUUAAUACAAGUCACAGCUAAAGUUUUUAAUUUCAGCCCCUCAUUCCAUCGGAAACAAUCACGUAUCAACAAAAAACAUGAAUUAUCAAGAUCAGAAAACAAAAUUAUAUAAAAACCAAAGAAAAUAUCUAGUAACAACGCAAUAAUUCAUUUAGGCUCCCAAAAGCAAAACAACACACCUGUUCAUACAGAGACAAGGACCAAUAUAACGGGACUAGUACAGGAUUCGUACAUAAUUAAAUGGCCAAGACAUACUCUAUGCAGGUUCCUCCAUCAGUAUAUUGGAAUUUAGCAUUAAAUUGGAGACUAUCAGAUGGAAUAAUCUCGCCAAUCUCAAAAAGACUUCAUGUGAAUGAUCCGUUGCAUGUCAAAACGUACAAGGUCAGUAUAGUCAGCACUCAGCAAACUGAUACUUUCAGUCACUUAUCUGAUAUCUAAUAUCCCAGGGCAUACUUUGAACUACAAUCCAAAAGAAAGGUUGACGCAGAAGGCAUUGUAACUUGUAAGGCAAUACUGUUGAUGAGCACUCUUCGAAGCCCAUUAUCUUUGAGGUUGGAUGUGGGUGUUGUGUUGACUCUUCUCAACUAUAUCUUCUAUCAAAAGCCUAACAAGUAACAGUAUCAAUACUCAAAGCAACAUCUAUCAACUCAAAAAACUUUACAAGAGCUAAAACAAAGGAAACAUAAACAACAAUUGAAUAUGAAAGGUACUGAAUAUCAUAAGAUAUUUUUCCAAAAACACUCUAGGCAGUAGGCAUAUUAUGAAUAGUACCACACAACUAAAACAAAGUUAACUUUAUUGUUUAUUUUAGAAAAUGAACAAUAGAGUACCUAAAUUAUGAAUGAAAGCCACAAAAACCGUGGCCUCUUUGUGGGUUUGUAGUUUCAUAUGUUUCCAAUUUUUAAUGGAUAGUCCUUCUCUUCAAGAAUAAGUCACUUACUAAACAAAUGACGUAUCAACUAAAGCAAAUCACAAGAUCAACCACAAUGAAUAAUGUACCUUUGUUUGGAAGUCCGUUUUAAUUGAAUGCAUAAUUUACUGCGGACCCCUGUAAUCGAUGAUGUCAACUUCUGCAGAUGGUGAGUUUUGAAGCAAGAAGUUUACUACCCCCUUAGGUAUGAUUACAAACGGUUCAUCUGCUUCUUUGAGAAGUAUCUUGUGAGCUUCUUUAAGCGACUUGUAUUUAAACACAACUUCUUUCCUUACAUAAGAUGAUAAUCCAAGAGGGCGUGGUUUCAGUUCUACUUUCAGUGACUUCAAGUUACGCAAGGAAGGGAGUUUAACCUUGAAUAAAUCAGGAUCUAAGGAAAGAAUCUACGCAAUUAGGGAGGAUUAAGAUUAGUUUGAUGUAAGCCACUUGAUUUUUGACAAUAUUUGGAAAUUGUUUUUUUUUUAUAAAAAAACAGUAUCUUACUAAGAAAGUAAACAUGAAACCUCAAAACAUGGCUAGUUCAGGUACCUGAAGAGUAUAUGCAUUGACGGUCAAUGAUUUUAUAUUAUCAAGGUCUUGAAUAAAAUCAAAUAAGGCUCCCCAAUUCUUGAAAAUAUGUCUACAAGAAUAUUUACUUGUUUAACUGAAGAAAGACUGCUUCCACACGACCACACAGUCUCUGCUUAGGAGUACCGUAAAAAGUAAUUGUACGAAGACUUGGAGCAGAUAGCUCGAUUUUGGUAAAGUCGGACGAGCUAUUACUACGCACAGUUAAAUGUAUGGUUAUCCCUUACACUACAUCUAGAAAUGAUCAAAUUAUUCGGUAUGUUGAAAGAUGAAAAUGGUUCGGCAUGAUCAGCAUUGCCAUUUGCGCAAAAGGAGAAAUUAGAUAGAUCCAAGCUAGUCAAUGCUGGCAAAUUUAGAUACUUCAGAAAUAAUGUUUUUUCAUCAUUAUAAGGACCAUUAGGGUAAACACAAAGCUUAAGAGACGUAAGUCCCUGACAUGACAAAAUGCGGGGAAAAAUGAUACCUUGCUCUUGCUCUCUUGGUGUUGGGUGGAAUCAUUGAGAACACGAAUUUGAGAAAAAAUAAAUAAAAUCUCAGCAAAGUCAUGGUAGAUUACAAUUGAAAAAAAAGAAAAGUUGAGAAAAUACCGUGAAAUUGAAAUUGAAAUUAACGUACUUUUGAAAAGAACGGUAGAGAAGGUUUACCGAGAGUUGGGGUCAUACAGCAAGUUUUGUAUUUCUAGGGUUCUUAUUUUUAUUUUUUUGCUCGGAGGAAAAAUGUGUUAAGUUUGCGAUGUGAACAACAAGUAACUAAAAUUAAAGUUGUUUAAUAAUUUUUACUUAAAAAAAAAAGUUUUUUUUUUUUACAUACUUAAAAAAAAAGUUUAAAAGUUGUUUUUAAUUAUAGUUUUGAAUUCUCGCGCGUCUUAUUUUUACUUAUCCGCUACUACAAUUGCGAGCCUUAUUUUUACUCGUUCGCUGCUUAAUGGGAACAAGCAUAGUUCACAUCACAAUCUCUUUGAGGGUCCGUUGAGGUAUAAAACUGCAUGUACGUUUAAAAUCGAGAGUAUGCAGUGCAGUUGAGGUAUCAAGAAGAGUUAAAAUCUUAGUCACAAACAUGCCUAGUUUCUUUGCGGUGGUAAAUUCUGAGGAAUGCAAUAUAAGGGUAGGAUUAUAUUUCCAAAGAUUCUUCCAUCUUGGUUGACAGACACCGCGUCUGUCUUUGUCUACUAUAUAAAUUUAUGUUAAAAAAUUAAAAAAAUGUCCUAUGUUAUAGUGAAUUUUUUAAUUAGAGAUCCCAGCCUAAACCAAUUAGCUAAGAGCAGGUGAGUAGAGCUGUUAAAGGGGCUGGCCUGGUCUGGCCCGGCCCCGAGGGCCCGAACAUUUAAAGGGCCCAGCCGGUCAUGCCCGGGUUGAUAAACAAAAGCCUACAUGGUCCGAUGGACCGGCCCGUUUAAAUUUUUAUUUUUUUAGCAAUUUUUUUUUUAAAUGUAUGAAUGACACACAAAUUAGUAUCCAUAACACAAAAUGGGUAUCAUGAUUUCACAAGAUAAUAAAUAAUGCAAAAUAUCCACGCAAAAAUCAAGAAAUAAUAAAUUCACAAAGUGCACCCUCAAAUCUAAUAAAUUUCAAGCUUACAAUCCUUCAAUUGGGAUUUAUGACUUAACAAUGGAGGAUUCGUCUUCGUCUUGUUCAAAAAAACAAUGGAGGAUUCAUUUGGGUUUAGUCAAAAUUAUAUGAUAAACUAUAACUUGAAUUGAUUCUAAAUAUGUUUGCCUUUAAAUAAGCUUACAAUAGAAAAACAAACGUAAAAAAGAUAAUAACUAACUUAUUUUAAAUUUAUGAUCUUUUAAAUUUAAAAGAUAAUUAUCCUACUAAUAACAAACUUAAAGGGUCAAAAUAUCUUUUUGUUUCAAAAUCAAAAUUUCAGUUUAUUUUUUUUCAAUAUUUUUUUUAAAAAUUCUUUAAGGGGCAGGCCCAAAAGCCCGUGGGCUGGUCCAUGACGGCCCAUGAAAAAGCCUGACCUGAUAAGGCCCAACCCGCAAUUUGUGAAGCCCUACCCGUGUAAAUAUAUAGGGCUAAUAGGCCGGCCCGUUAGCCCCACCCAUUUUGACAGCUCUACAGGUGUGCCGUCAGAUCAAAAGGAUCAUGUAGCAUAGGUAUAGAAUAGAUAUAAUAAAGUUAAAAGAUAUGUUUGAUAAUAUAUUAUAUAUUUUUUUAAGUAUAGAAACUGUUUUUUUUCUUCUUAAUAGAGCUUUUAAAAAUUGUUGUUUAGCCUAACUUCUUACUUAUAUGAAAAAAGAAGAGGAAAAAAGUUAGGUUAAAUAGUACCUAAGGACCACACAAAUUAGUGUUAAUGGAUUGGACAAAAAUAAAGAUUUUUAUUUUCUACCGAACUAUGAGAGACAAUUUUUUGUCUUCUCACAAGUUGUCUAAGAUACCAAAAUAACUUUUUUAUACAUCGAUCAUCGUAGAAGAUAAAAUUUAUUCAAUACCUUAAUAACAUGUGUCAUGUGUUGUUCCGUUUUGUACUGUUAUGUAUUGUUCUGUUUUGUACUGUUAUGUAUUGUUCCGUAAGAAAGUUGUUUUAUAAGUAUUAGAGAAAACAACACUCGUGGCAAGCAAUUCUUAUAAAUAUUUUGCACAAAGACUUUUUUUUUUUGGCUUUCACCACCAGUUUAAUCUGGUUCGGGGGUCGGUUCUGGCAUCAAGUGGUUCCAGCCCCCUCCCGAUCGUAGUUGCAGGGAUCGAACCGUGGUCCUCCCAACCAAGUUCAGCAUCAAUUACCACUGAACCAACUAACGAUUAAAACAAAGGAAACUCAAAAUGAAUAAAAGGAACAAUAGCGUGCCUAAAUCAGACUAGAACGACUUGUAAGCAAAGUAACAUACAUCCCUGCAACUCGCAAUAUGUGAACAAAAGCCACUAAACCUUUGGCUUCUUUGCUGGUGUGAAGCUUACAUUGCUUCCUAUUUUUAACCGAUAAUUUUUCUCUUCAAGGACGAUUCUUCGACCGAGCAAAUCACAUGAUCAACUAUAAAGAAUAAUAAUUAGUUAAGAUAAACUUUUCAGCAAGAACUUCCUACAAUCUUUUUGCUUUGAAAUAAUUACCACGACUAUAAAUUUUUUAAAUAACUACCUAAGGUAGGCGGCAACAGAAGGUUUCAGAGUUUAAUUCAAGUACAUGAUCUAUGAUAACUUCUAUUGACGGCGAGUUUUGAAGCAAGAAGUCCACUAUUCCAUCAGGCAUGCUUAAAGAUGAUUGAUAUGAACAAAUUUGGAAUCUAAGGUAAAGAAAUAGUAAAAUAUAGAAUGGAUGUUGGAAGCAACACACUGUUAUAUUGAUUAUCCUAUAGAAUCAAGGUGAUUCUAUGGUAGAAUUUCAUCAGUCAUUGAUUUCAUCAGUACUUAAUUCAGUGACUUCAACUUACACAAGGAAUAAAACUCCAUCGAUAAAUAUGAAACAAGGGAGAGAACCUGAGCAAUGAAGUGUGAGGAUGAGUUAGGUUCAGUUUAACACAAGUCAAAAUAUUUUAGACAAAAUGUAGAAAUAAAAAAACACAUCUUAAGAAGAAAGUUUAUUAAGCCAGUAGAGUAAAGCCAAAGAGAAAUAAAGCAAUCUCCUGAUACAUGCUCGCUGUGCAAUGAUGACAAUAGUUGCAAAAACACCAUUAUUUUCAGGUUCAGGGACUGCAUUCUGAAGUAGAAUUAUAUUUUUAUUAGAAUAUUUCUAAGAGAAAUUGACUUAUAUAAAUAAUCUCUUGUUCUCAUUCUCAUAUUGAUAUAUAUAUCUAAAUGCAAUUUUAUAUGUAGUUUCUGGAAUGCAAAGUUAUUAUGGAUAAUAACUUUCCAUAACUUUUUGGUUUGGUCUUAUUAUCAAUUUAACAAUACAUAAGCUGUAUAUUCUUGGCUCUUGAGUAAUUAGAUACAUUUUUUGUUCUAAUGCAAAUGUUGGGGAAAAAAAAAACUACUUUUUAUCAAUCAAAUAGGAAAUCAAUAAAAAAAAUCAGUAGUCUAAUGUAUAUCAUCACAUCUAUUCGUAUAUGGAUUUUGCAUGUCUAUAUGCAUCAAAUCUGAUUAUUCAACCAUUGUUGUUAGUUGAGUAGCGGUAGUAGUUUUUAAGUCAGUUCAGAAACAAUUUACAAGUUGAAAACUAGUUCAGAACCAAAACUAAACUAACCAUUUUUGUGUUUAAAACAGUUUGGUUCAAAAGUUUUAAAACCGAUGCAGAGAACCAAAGAAUCAGUUCAGUUUGGUGAACAGUAAAACCGAUUCAAUUUGGUUCAGCUGAAAUGGUUUCCAAUUCGGUUCAGUUUUCUCUGGUGAAUCAAACCAUGACCACUCCUAGUUUGACAGGCAAUUAUGACCGUCGAAUAUCUCAUAACAUGUCUUCCAAAAUGACUUAAUGCAUAUUUCAAAAAUACUCAAGCAACUAAAACAACAAAAUGAACUAAAAUGAACAAUAUAGAGCCUAACCUUUGGCUUCUUUGCCGGUUUGAAACAAGAAGUCCACUAUUUCAUAAGGCAUAUGCUUAAAGAUGAUUUGAUCAGUACUUUCAGUGACUUCAACGUACACAAGGAAUAAAUCUUAAGGUACCUGAAUAGUACCUUAAGGCUAAAGAGCUGUUCUGAUGACAUGUAAAAGCAUCGAUGUUUACUUGUUUAACAGAAGAAAGACCGAUACUGCAUAGUUUAUAUGAAGGGGUGGAGCAGAUAACUGAAGUUUGGAAAUGAGUAUGAAACUAUCAUGCAUGGUUAAAUUGACGAACGUCGCAUUUGAUUUUGCUAGUUGCGAGAGAUUGAACCGCGGUCCUCCCAACUAAGUUCAGCGCCAAUCACCACUGAACGAACCAACAAUUGAAAAUUUUUGGUUAAACUUUGUUUAUCUUGUGAACAAACUCUAGAUUUUCGGGAUUCCCUAGGAACUAGAAUAUUAAUACCAAAAGAAAUAAUAAAUAAUUACUAAAUUUUUUUUUUUGAGAAAAUAAAUAAUUACUAAAUGUUUUCACAUAAAUGAUUCCGUGAGCAUAAUUUGAUUGGUAGUGACAUUGCACGUAAAAUGCAGGGAUCAGAGUUUGAACCUUGAUACUCCCACUAUUUCACCUUAAAAAGUGAAAUUCUAGUCACUAAAUUACUUGGAUAAAAAAGAAGCAAAUGAGAAAUAAUAAUAAUAAUAAUAAUAAUAAUAAUAAUAAUAAUAAUAAUAAUAAUAAUAAUAAUAAUUCAGAUUUCGAUGGGAAUCAAAUGGGAAAUGAUCCUCUCAAUUUUUUCCCUCAAUUUAUACAUCUUAACUAUGGAUAAACUUUUCUUCAUUUUUUUAUAAUUAAAAUAUUAACACAUAAUUUAUAUACAAACAUUAUUGGCAUUCUCGGUAAUGCUGAAAAGCUGUACUGCCUAAGAAAAAAGUUAUAUAUAUUAACUGUUUAAUUGAUAUGCACCGACGGUGUAAAAUACUUUUACACCAUCGUCCAAUAAAUAAUCAUUAUUUUUCCAUGUUAUGUCAAGAAAGUGGGGUGAAGUGGGAUGAUGUGGCAAAAAAUAUGAUUGGUAUUAGUUGACGAUGUAAAAUUAUUUUACACCGUCAGCGGUGCAUAUCAAUUAAAUCCUAUUAACUUUGACCCGACUUCUAUUUUUAUUAAGUAGAAAAGUUUGAAAUAAGCUGGCCCAAACAUAUAGUUUGAUGCAAGCCACUUGAUUUUUGACAAAAGUUGGAAAUAAAUAAAAAUGCAUAUUUUAAGUUAUUGUAGGCUUUAUGGUUGAUUGUUGUCAUUGUUGUAAGACAUAUUUUCAAUUUAAUACUUAUUUUAACCCACUUGGGGUUGGUCUAGUAGUGUUGGCUUAAAUCUUUAGAGUAUGCUCCUCUCAAGGUCUCAGGUUCGAUUCCUCCUGGUGCUAAUUUUGGUGGGAUAAGUUCACACAUAGAAAAAAACUAGCUUUAAAUGGGGUUCCGCAAGUGGGCGGUGGGAUUGGUCUCCUUGGAUUAGUCGGUCAUAGGACCGGAAACGAAGUUUUCAAAAAAAUUUAAUACUUAUUUUAUGAUUAGGAUGAACGAUUUUACUACACUAUUAUUUAAUAUUUAUCACGGAUGAUUUCUAAAAUAUUUACAAGAGGAAUUGGGUAACCGGCAUGAGUGAAACUUCAUAUAAGAUAUGCAAAAGGUAUAAUUUCUGUAACCAUGAUUUAACUACAAAGUUGCAAUUAAAAAAUAUGGUCAUUUACCCUUCUGUGUCGUGAAGUGCAAUCAAAUCAGUCUCUGAGUCGUAGACUCACGUUGGCUAACAGCUAGCGGUGUUAUAUAGUAAGGAUGACACAAAUUGGCAAAAGACACUUUAAACCAAGGUGAUGAGUAAACUGUGGAAAUGAUUUAAAAAGCAUAGAGAUACUUAAGCAAUAACAAUUAAUUAACAGAAUGAAUAACUUUCCUUGAGUACCACACAAUCCUUGUCAUUGAAAGAAAAUCCUUUAACCAGAAAGAGUAUCAUAUCAUGUGAGUUCAACCACUUUAUUUUGAAGUAUUUUUUGGCAAGGAGAGAAGAGAAAGACUUCAUGAUUUUCCUUUUUGUGAGAGUAUUAGAAAUUAUUAUCGCGAAAGGAUUUUGAAAAUUUUCGAAGCACUCCAAAAUCACAGCUAUAGUUUUUUAUUUCAGCCCCUCAUUCCAUCACAAACAAUAUUGGAUCAAGAAAAUGUGAAUAAAUGCAGGAUUCUCUUUUGUGUGAGUGAUGUCAACAAAAAACAUGAAUUAUCAACACCAGAAAACAGAAUUAUAUAAAAACCAAAGAAAUCAUCGAUAAAAAUAUCUAGUAACAACUAAAUGAUUCAUUUAGGCUCCCAAAAACAAAAACACAGACCUAAUGCAUGUCAAAUCGUACAACAUGAUUGAUAUAGUCAGCAUUCGGCAAACUGAUUUCAGUCACUUAUCUGAUAUCUAAUAUCCCAAGGCAUACUUUGAACUACAAUCCAAAAGAAAGGUUGACACAGAAGGCAUUGUAACUUGUAAGGUUGACGCUCUUCAAAGCCCGUUAUCUUGAGGUGGGGAACGGGUGUUGGGUUGGCUCUUCUCAACUGUAUCUUCGUUUGAUGAUGUAUCGAAAGUCAAACUAACAAUAGCAAUAGUCAAAGAAAAAUUUAUCAAUUCAAAAAAUUAACUAGAGUUAAAAUAAAGGAGAAAUAAACAAUAGUUGAAUAUGAAAGAUACUAAAUCUCAUAAAAUAAAACAAAGGAAACAUUCUAAACAGUAGGCAUACUUCAAAAGUAUCACACAACUAAAAGAAAGGAAACUUGCAAAAGUUUCCAAAUUUCAUUUUUAAUUUUAACUGGAAUAUCUCUCAGGCCUUGAAUGAUGCUUAUCAAACAGGUUACAAUAAUACAAUUCCAUUUGAUCCUUCUGAGGAUGAGUUUCUUUGGAAACAUAAUUCUGGUAUUCUGACCCUCAAAGAUGCUUAUAUUUUCCAAUCUCCUCCUCGUCAGAAGAUUCCUUGGGCUAAAUUGAUUUCAAGCUCUUCUAUCACUCCUUCUAAAUCUCUUCUUCUUUGUUGAACCUUGCAUAACAAGAUUCCUACUGAAUGCUAAUAGCUGGUGCUUUCUUGUCCCUCAGGUUAUUAUAGGGCUGACUAUUCUAGAAAUAGAUUAGUUAUUCCUUACUUUCGUUUUUUUAACCUUUAAGAGGGUUUUGGUUUGGCCCCCCUCCUUUCUCUUUUUAUUUCUCUGAUAUUUAGGGCUCCGCAGUUAUCCUGCAACCCAUCUUUUGUCUUAAAAAAAAGAGUAAACUUUAUUUUUUUUGUUAAAAAAUGAAAAAUAGAGUCUCAAAGUUAUGAAUGAAAACCACAAAAAUUGUGGCCUCUUUGCGAGUUUGAUGUUUCACUUGCUUCCUAUUUUUCAAUCGAUAAUCCUCUGCAAGAAUAAGUCACUGCCUAAAGAAAUGACAUAUCAACUAAAGAAAAUCACAAGAUCAAGUAUAAAGAAUAGUUUACCGUAGUUUGGUGGGCCAUUUCAUCCGACUGCAUACUUUCAGUGUCUUCAAGUUACACAACAAUGAAGGGAGUUUAGCCUUGAAUAAAUCAGGAACUAAGAAGAGAAUCUGAGCAAUUAGGGAGAAUUAUGAUUAGGUUGAUGCAAGUCAGUUGAUUUUUGACAAAAUUUGUUUAUGAAAUAAAAAAACAUCUUAAGAAGAAAGUAAACAUGAAACCUCAAAACAUAGCAAGUUAAUGUACCUUAAGAUUACUCGCAGUGACUGUCAAUGAUUUUGUAUUAAUAAGGUCCUGCGGCCAGCUGAAUAGAACAAAAGGAAGCUCCUCAAAUGUAUUUGAAAAUAUGUCCGCUUCAAUAUUUACUUGUUUAAUUGAAGAAAGACUGCUUCCACACAGUCUCUGAUGAGGAACACCAUCAAAAGUAAUGGUAUAAAGACUAGGAGCGAAUAACUCAAUUUUGGUAAAGUCAGAUGAAUUAUUAGACAUAGCUAAAUUGACAAGGGUUGAACUUGAUAUUCUUAGAAUCGGGGCAUCCAUUACAGUACAAUUAGAAAUGAUCAAAUUAUUUAAGCAAUUAAAUGAUGAAAAGGGUUCGGCAUGAUCAGCAAUGUCGCUAGCACAAAAUGCAAAAUAAGUUAGAUCCAAGCUAGUCAAUGCUGGCAAAUUCAGAGAUUUUGGAAAUAAUGUUCUUUUCCCAUUACUAUAAAGACCUUUAGGGUAAACACAAAGCUUAAGAGACGUAAGAGCCUGGCAUGAAGAAAUGCGAGGAAAAAUGAUACUACUAUCACCUUUAACACAGAUUCCUAAUUGCUUGAGUUGGGUAUUAUGGGAACAAGCAUAGUUUACAAUCUCUUUGAGAGUCCGUUGAGGUUCAAAACUGCCCAAACGCUCAAAAUCGAGAGUGUGCAGUGAAGGUGUGGUGGUAUCACGAAGAUUCAAAAUCUUAGUCACAAAUAUGGCUAAUUUUUUUGCAUUGGAGAAUUCUGAGGAAUGCAAUAUAANNNNNNNNNNNNNNNNNNNNNNNNNNNNNNNNNNNNNNNNNNNNNNNNNNNNNNNNNNNNNNNGGAGAACACAAUCAGGUAAGUCACUCAACCUAUCUUCAUUCUCUUCAUUAUUAUCAUGCCUCCCUCUCUUGUUGUCGGGUGGAAUCAUUUUCUCAUGCGCUAAACUAGACAUUACAACUCAGAUAACUACCGGUACCUGCACAAGCAUAAACGGAAAAAACAAUGUGGAAUCAUUUUCUGCAAUAUUAUACAACGGAUCACGAAUUUGAGUUACAAAGAGAAUCAAAUCUACGGCGAGCUUUCAAAUCUCAUCAAAGUCAUACUAGAUUGCAAUUGGGAAAAUGGAUAGGAACGGUGGAAAGAGGUGCUAGAUUGCAUACCUUGAAAUUGACGAUUUACACAUCCAAGCAAACACUUCGCUCUAUUUCGUACGGGAUAGAAACGGUGAAGUGAGGUCUACAGACUGGUUCAUAGAACCAGUUUUCUAGGGUUCCAACAAAAUGCAUUAGUUUAGACACUAAACUAUUUGACCAACAAAAAAGAAGAAUUACCAACAUUUGAUUGGUCCAUUUGCUGCCACAUCAUAUCAAAAUAUGUCAUGUAUGCAUAAUUUUAAGUAUUUGAGUCCAAUUUCAGAAAUUGAAAAAAAUGAGAGGCCAAAAUUGGGAAAUUUAAAAUGUGGGGACCAAAAUUCAGAAAUCGACAAAUAAGGGGAUCAAAACUGCAAUUAAACCAUUUGGUUCCGUUUUCUUUGGUGAAUCAAACCAUGACCACUAAUUUGACAAGCAAUUCUUAUAAAUAUUUUGCACAAAGACUCUAGGAAGCAUGCAUAUUUCAAAAUAAUCAAGCAAUUAAAACAAAGGAAACUCAAAAUGAAUUAAAAGGAACAAUAGAGUGCCUAAAUUAUGCUUUUAUUUAUAAAUCAGACUAGAACGACUUGUAAGCAAAAUAACACACAUACCUUUUGCUUCUUUGCCAGUUUGAAGCAAGAAGUCCACUAUUCCAUCAGGCAUGCUUAAAGAUGAUUUGAGAAACUUUAACUUACACCAGGAAUAAAUCUUAAGCUAUAUCAUGUGAGUUCAACCACUUUAUUUUGAAGUACAUUUUGGCUAGGAGAGAAGAGAAAGACUUCAUGAUUUUCCUUUUUGUGAGAGUAUUAGAAAUUAUUAUCGUGAAAGGAUUUUGAAAAUUUUCGAAGCACUCCAAAAUCACAGCUAAAGUUUUUAAUUUCAGCCCCUCAUUCCAUCGGAAACAAUCGCGUAUCAAGAAAAUAUGAAUAAAUGCAGGGUUCAACUUUAGUACGAGUGAGAUCAACAAAACACAUGAAUUAUCAAGAUCAGAAAACAGAAUUAUAUAAAAACCAAAGAAAAUAUCUAGUAACAACGCAAUAAUUCAUUUAGGCUCCCAAAAUCAAAACAACACACCUGUUCAUACAGAGAUAAGGACCAAUAUAACGGGACUAGUACAUGAUUCGUACAUAAUUAAAUGGCCAAGACAUACUCUAUGCAGGUUCCUCCAUCAGUAUAUUGGAAUUUAGCAUUAAAUUGGAGACUAUCAGAUGGAAUAAUCUCGCCAAUCUCAAAAAGACUUCAUGUGAAUGAUCCGUUGCAUGUCAAAUCGUACAAGGUCAGUAUAGUCAGCACUCAGCAAACUGAUACUUUCAGUCACUUAUCUGCUAUCUAAUAUCCCAGGGCAUACUUUGAACUACAAUCCAAAAGAAAGGUUGACGCAGAAGGCAUUGUAACUUGUAAGGCAAUACUGUUGAUGAGCACUCUUCGAAGCCCGUUAUCUUUGAGGUUGGAUGUGGGUGUUGUGUUGACUCUUCUCAACUAUAUCUUCAAUUGAUGAUGUAUCAAAAGCCCAACAAGUAGCUAAAUCUAUCAACUCAAAAAACUUCACAAGAGCUAAAACAAAGGAAACAUAUACAACAAUUGAAUAUGAAAGAUACUGAAUAUCAUAAGAUGUUUUUCCAAAAACACUCUAGGCAGUAGGCAUAUUAUGAAUAGUACCACACAACUAAAACAAAGUUAACUUUAUUGUUUAUUUUAGAAAAUGAACAAUAGAGUGCCUAAAUUAUGAAUGAAAGCCACAAAAACCGUGGCCUCUUUGUGGGUUUGUAGUUUC